rnacentral:rRNA from 1 species
GACGGAGGAUGCAAGUGUUAUCCGGAAUCACUGGGCGUAAAGCGUCUGUAGGUGGUUUAGUAAGUCUAUUGUUAAAUCUUGAGGCUCAACUUCAAACCAGCAAUGGAAACUGCUAGACUUGAGUAUGGUAGAGGUAAGAGGAAUUUCCAGUGGAGCGGUGAAAUGCGUAGAUAUUGGAAAGAACACCGAUGGCGAAGGCAUCUUACUGGGCCAUUACUGACACUCAGAGACGAAAGCUAGGGUAGCAAAUGGGAUUAGAUACCCCAGUAGUCCUAGCAGUAAACGAUGGAUACUAGAUGUUGCCCGUUCACCGCAGUGUCAAAGCUAACGCGUUAAGUAUCCCGCCUGGGAAGUAUGCUCGCAAGAGUG